rnacentral:lncRNA from 1 species
CGUGCGUGGCCAGAUCUCAUAAUUUUAAUGGCCUUUUCAGAUUGGCUUCUUUCACUUAGCAGUAUGCUUUUAAGAUUCCUCCAUGUCUUUUCCUGUCUUGAUAGCUACUUUCUUUUUAUCAUGAAUUAAUAGUCCAUCCAUUGUGCCAUAGUUUGCAUUAAAUAUAUCCAUUCACCUAUUGAAGUACAUCUUGACUGUUUAUGUUUUAGCAAAUCCAAAUAAAGCUGCUAUAAACAUUGAUGUGCAGGUUUUUGUGUGGAUAUGGUUUUUCAACUCAUUUGAGUAUAUAUCAAGAAUCACAAUUGCUGGAGUUUCCCCUUAUAUUUUUACUCCACAUUUUGGAGAUGCCCUUCAGGUUUUAUGUCAAUUGUUCUAUUAAGUUUUUUCUUUCUACUCUCAUAAUUUUAAUUUCAAGAGACUUCUAUAGAGUUAUCCUUUUGUACAGCAUUCUUUCUCUCCCUUUCUUAAAAUAGCUUUUAAAAAAUCACUGUUUCUCAGAUUGGACACAAACUUCAGUGUCUAAUGAUGCC